CUUGCCCGCUGUCGGCAUUCUUAACACAUGCAAGUCGAACGAGUGGCGGACGGGUGAGUAAUGCUUGGGAAUCUAGCUUAUGGAGGGGGAUAACUACGGGAAACGGUAGCUAAUACCGCGUACCAUAGGAUGAGCCCAAGUGGGAUUAGGUUGUUGGUGAGUUAAAGGCUCACCAAGCCGACGAUCUCUAGCUGGUCUGAGAGGAUGACCAGCCACACGGGUACUGAGACACGGCCCAGACUCCUACGGGAGGCAGCAGUGGGGAAUAUUGCGCAAUGGGGGCAACCUGACGCAGCCAUGCCGCGUGAAUGAAGAAGGCCUUCGGGUUGUAAAGUUCUUUCGGUAGCGAGGCGUUAACUACAGAAGAAGCACCGGCUAACUCCGUGCCAGCAGCCGCGGUAAUUC
rnacentral:rRNA from 1 species